GGGAAUGUAGCUCUACGGUGGAGCACUUGCCUAGCAUGCAAAAGGCUCUGGGUUCUACCCCCAGAGCUGCCA
rfam:Cricetulus griseus cell line CHO-K1, whole genome shotgun sequence.